GACGAACGCGGCGGCGUGCCUAAUACAUGCAAGUAGAACGCUGAAGGAGGAGCUUGCUUCUCUGGAUGAGUUGCGAACGGGUGAGUAACGCGUAGGUAACCUGCCUGGUAGCGGGGGAUAACUAUUGGAAACGAUAGCUAAUACCGCAUAAUAGCAGUUAUUGCAUGAUAACUGUUUGAAAGGUGCAAUUGCACCACUACCAGAUGGACCUGCGUUGUAUUAGCUAGUUGGUGGGGUAACGGCUCACCAAGGCGACGAUACAUAGCCGACCUGAGAGGGUGAUCGGCCACACUGGGACUGAGACACGGCCCAGACUCCUACGGGAGGCAGCAGUAGGGAAUCUUCGGCAAUGGACGGAAGUCUGACCGAGCAACGCCGCGUGAGUGAAGAAGGUUUUCGGAUCGUAAAGCUCUGUUGUAAGAGAAGAAACGAGUGUGAGAAGUGGAAA
rnacentral:rRNA from 1 species